rnacentral:lncRNA from 1 species
GUGAGCUCCUCCAGUAAUGACUAAGGACUGUUGCAAAGACUGCUACAGCUUCUCCAUUAAGACGUCUAGUGGGAAGAUGACACACUGAAGCAACUGACCCUCCAGUCUGAAAGAGGAGACCUCUGAGGUCACCUUCAUGUGCUUCACCACAAGCUUAUCAGCAAAUCUCAGGGCCACCUCAAGUAUCUUUCUUGACCAUGGAAAUGCAACAUGUGUGUCUGGAGUUCUGGC